rnacentral:tRNA from 1 species
GCAGGGGUACCCGAGCUUGGUCCAAGGGGCAGGGCUUAGGACCCUGUUGCGCAGGCACCCGAGCGUUCAAAUCGCUCCCCCUGCA